UCGUAGUAGACGUUGACCCACUCCUGGUCCUCGGCCACCACCGUGCUCUGCGGGUUGGGGUCGUAGUAGAUGGCGGUGUUGGCCGUCACCUUGCGCAGCGUGGUGUGCUCCAGGCGGCACAGGAUGUCCUGGGGACAUUGGGGACAUGGGGACAGUCAGGAGACAUGGGGACAUUGGGUGUGGUGUGCUCCAGGCGGCACAGGAUGUCCUGGGGACACAGGGACAGUCAGGGGACAUGGGGACAUUGGGGACAAUCAGGAGACAUGGGGACAUUGGGGACAUUGGGUAUGGUGUGCUCCAGGCGGCACAGGAUGUCCUGGGGACAUUGGGGACACUGGGGACAGAGGGACAUUGGGGACAUGGAGAACAUUGGGGACAGUCAGGGGACAUUGAGGACAUGAGGACAGUCAGGGGACACUGGGGACAGAGGGACAUGGGGACACGGGGACAUUUGGUAUGGUGUGCUCCAGGUGGCAUAGGAUGUCCUGAGGGGACACGGGACAGGGACAUGGGGACAUGGAAGACACAGGGACACAGAGGAGACCCAAAGCCACAGGGCCACCACGGGGACACAAAGCCACCACAGGGCUGUGAGGACAAGGAGGUGACACAAACCCAUAGAGCCACCACAGGGCUGUGAGGACCCAACCCCACAGGGCCACCAUGGGGACACAAAUCCAUGGAGCCACCACAGAGCUGUGGGGACAAGGAAGUGACACAAACCCAUGGAGCCACCAUGAGGAUGUGAAGCCAUGGAGCCACCACAGAGCUGUGGGGACACAGAGGUGACACAAACCCACAGGGCCACCAUGGGGACAUGAAACCGCCACAGGGCUGUGGGGACAAGGAGGUGACACAAACCCAUGGAGCCACCACAGAGCUGUGAGGACUCAACCCCACAGGGCCACCAUGGGGACACAAAGCCACAGGGCCACCAUGAGAACAUGAAGCCAUGGAGCCACCACAGGGCCGUGGGGACACAGAGGGGACACAAAGCCACAGAACCACCACGGGGACAUGAAACCACCACAGGGCUGUGGGGACACAGAGGGGACACAAAGCCACAGAGCCACCAUGAGGAUGUGAAGCCAU
rnacentral:lncRNA from 1 species